rnacentral:rRNA from 1 species
UACGAAGGGGGCUAGCGUUGUUCGGAUUUACUGGGCGUAAAGCGCACGUAGGCGGAUCUUUAAGUCAGAGGUGAAAUCCCAAGGCUCAACCUUGGAACUGCCUUUGAUACUGGGGAUCUCGAGUUCGGGAGAGGUGAGUGGAACUGCGAGUGUAGAGGUGAAAUUCGUAGAUAUUCGGAAGAACACCAGUGGCGAAGGCGGCUCACUGGACCGGUAUUGACGCUGAGGUGCGAAAGCGUGGGGAGCAAACAGG